rnacentral:tRNA from 2 species
GGUCCGGUAGUUCAGUUGGUUAGAAUGCUGCCCUGUCACGGCAGAGGUCGCGGGUUCGAGUCCCGUCCGGACCG